rnacentral:rRNA from 1 species
AGGACGAACGCUGGCGGCGUGCUUAACACAUGCAAGUCGAGCGGAAAGGCCCUUCGGGGUACUCGAGCGGCGAACGGGUGAGUAACACGUGAGUAAUCUGCCCCUAGCUCUGGGAUAGCUCCGGGAAACCGGGAUUAAUACCGGAUACGACCACCUUAGACAUCUUUUGUGGUGGAAAGAAUUUCGGCUAGGGAUGAGCUCGCGGCCUAUCAGCUUGUUGGUGGGGUAACGGCCUACCAAGGCGACGACGGGUA